CCUACGGGUGGCAGCAGUGGGGAAUAUUGGACAAUGGGCGCAAGCCUGAUCCAGCCAUGCCGCGUGAGUGAUGACGGCCUUAGGGUUGUAAAGCUCUUUCGCCAGGGACGAUAAUGACGGUACCUGGAUAAGAAGCCCCGGCUAACUUCGUGCCAGCAGCCGCGGUAAUACGAAGGGGGCUAGCGUUGUUCGGAAUUACUGGGCGUAAAGCGCGUGUAGGCGGGUCUUUAAGUCAGGGGUGAAAUGCCAAGGCUCAACCUUGGAACUGCCUUUGAUACUGGAGAUCUUGAGUCCGGGAGAGGUGAGUGGAACUGCGAGUGUAGAGGUGAAAUUCGUAGAUAUUCGCAAGAACACCAGUGGCGAAGGCGGCUCACUGGCCCGGAACUGACGCUGAGACGCGAAAGCGUGGGGAGCAAACAGGAUUAGAUACCCUUGUAGUC
rnacentral:rRNA from 1 species